rnacentral:pre_miRNA from 1 species
UACGGGGCGGGGGUCCCUCAACCUGGAUUGCAAGAGAGUGCAGGCCAGACCGAGGGACCCCACCAGUGCAUG